AAUUAGUAUAAUCUUUUGGUUGACAAUGAUAAGAAAUCAAGAAGCAAUUAUUGUUGAAUGCGCUUUUUCUUUUUCGAGAAUUUUGGUUUUGGGUUGACUUGGCUGCGACUGUGCCGUUAUUCUGUUUGGGUUAUUGUUUUCUCGUCUUCAAAAUUUCAGAUUCAACUCAAUUUGUUACGUUGUGUAAUCUAAAAUCGCUUUUUCUAGGGAUUAGAAUACUAACAAUGGAUAAGAAAGACUCUGGGAAGAAGGCCUCUGAGGAUGCGACUCGUGAAUCUCUAAUUGCAAUUUCAUAUGGAGCACCAGAUCUAACUGCUAAAAUGUCACCUAAAAGUAAAGCAGAGGAGAAUGUAGUCGAUCCUCAUAGGCAUGAUGAAGAUGAGAUAUAUAGGUCUAAGUUGAUGUCCAUAUCAUCUUCAACAUCUUCAAAUGUGAAAGCCCAACCAGUCCAGCCCGGGCAACCUCAUCCUUAGCCUGGACAACAGACACGACUGAUGGCCUCAAUGUAACCUCUAGGAUUAAUGAUAACAAGUUCCGGCUUGAAUUUAAUCCCUAACUGCUGGGGGCUUCAGUGUAUUUGGUUCUUUAUCAAACUGUGUCAUGGUGAUAGAUAGACUGUCUCAUGUUUAAAAUCUUUACACUGUAAAAUUAUUCAGACAUGUACACUGCAUAAGUAGGCAGUGGCAAUGGCAGCCAUAGCUGCAAAAAUGUUGUCUUUUGGCUUC